CCUUAGAGUUUGAUCCUGGCUCAGGAUGAACGCUAGCGGGAGGCCUAACACAUGCAAGCCGAGCGGUAUUUGUCUUUCGGGACAGAGAGAGCGGCGUACGGGUGCGGAACACGUGUGCAACCUGCCUUUAUCAGGGGGAUAGCCUUUCGAAAGGAAGAUUAAUACCCCAUAAUAUAUUAAGUGGCAUCAUUUAAAAUUGAAAACUCCGGUGGAUAGAGAUGGGCACGCGCAAGAUUAGAUAGUUGGUAGGGUAACGGCCUACCAAGUCAAUGAUCUUUAGGGGGCCUGAGAGGGUGAUCCCCCACACUGGUACUGAGACACGGACCAGACUCCUACGGGAGGCAGCAGUGAGGAAUAUUGGACAAUGGGUUAGCGCCUGAUCCAGCCAUCCCGCGUGAAGGACGACGGCCCUAUGGGUUGUAAACUUCUUUUGUACAGGGAUAAACCUAUUUACGUGUAAAUAGCUGAAGGUACUGUACGAAUAAGCACCGGCUAACUCCGUGCCAGCAGCCGCGGUAAUACGGAGGGUGCAAGCGUUAUCCGGAUUUAUUGGGUUUAAAGGGUCCGUAGGCGGAUCUGUAAGUCAGUGGUGAAAUCUCACAGCUUAACUGUGAAACUGCCAUUGAUACUGCAGGUCUUGAGUAAGGUAGAAGUGGCUGGAAUAAGUAGUGUAGCGGUGAAAUGCAUAGAUAUUACUUAGAACACCAAUUGCGAAGGCAGGUCACUAUGUCUUAACUGACGCUGAUGGACGAAAGCGUGGGGAGCGAACAGGAUUAGAUACCCUGGUAGUCCACGCCGUAAACGAUGCUAACUCGUUUUUGGGUUUUCGGAUUCAGAGACUAAGCGAAAGUGAUAAGUUAGCCACCUGGGGAGUACGUUC
rnacentral:rRNA from 1 species